rnacentral:rRNA from 1 species
AGAGUUUGAUCAUGGCUCAGGACGAACGCUGGCGGCGUGCUUAAUACAUGCAAGUCGAACGAGGUCCAUUCGGUGGUAACACCGAUGAAGACCUAGUGGCGAACGGGUGCGUAACAUGUGAGCAACCUGCCCCGAAGACCGGGAUAACAGCGGGAAACUGCUGCUAAUACCGGAUGUCCCCACAAAUCCGCAUGGGAAUGUGAGGAAAUGGAUUCCGCUUCGGGAGGGGCUCGCGGCCUAUCAGCUUGUUGGUGAGGUAACGGCCCACCAAGGCUUCGACGGGUAGCUGGUCUGAGAGGACGAUCAGCCACACUGGGACUGAGACACGGCCCAGACUCCUACGGGAGGCAGCAGUAGGGAAUCUUGCGCAAUGGGCGAAAGCCUGACGCAGCAACGCCGCGUGGGGGAUGAAGGCCUUCGGGUUGUAAACUCCUUUUAGUGGGAACGAAAUUGACGGUACCCACAGAAAAAGCCCCGGCUAACUACGUGCCAGCAGCCGCGGUGAUACGUAGGGGGCGAGCGUUGUCCGGAUUCACUGGGCGUAAAGAGCUCGUAGGCGGCUCGGUAAGUCGGGUGUGAAACCUCCAGGCUCAACCUGGAGCCGCCACCCGAUACUGCUAUGGCUAGAGUCGGAGGGGACCAUGGAAUUCCUGGUGUAGCGGUGAAAUGCGCAGAUAUCAGGAGGAACACCAGUAGCGAAGGCGGUGGUCUGGGCCGGUACUGACGCUGAGGAGCGAAAGCGUGGGGAGCGAACAGGAUUAGAUACCCCCGUAGUCC